AGCAGGCGCGUAAAUUGCCCGUCAACGUACGCUGAUGACAGCAGGCGCGUAAAUUGCCCGAAUCCUGACACAGGGAGGUAGUGACAAGAAAUAACAAUACAGGGCUACAUCUAGUCUUGUAAUUGGAAUGAGUACAAUUUACAUCUCUUCACGAGGAUCAAUUGGAGGGCAAGUCUGGUGCCAGCAGCCGCGGUAAUUCCAGCUCCAAUAGCGUAUAUUAAAGUUGUUGCAGUUAGAACGCUCGUAGUCGGAUUUCGGGGCGGGCCGACCGGUCUGCCGAUGGGUACGCACUGGUCGGCGCGUCCUUCCUUCCGGAGACCGUGCCUACUCUUAACUGAGCGGGGGCGGGGGACGGAUCGUUUACUUUGAAAAAAUCAGAGUGUUUCAAGCAGGCAGCUCGCUCUUGCAUGGAUUAGCAUGGGAUAAUGAAAUAGGACUUUGGUGCUAUUUUGUUGGUUUCGAACACCGAAGUAAUGAUUAAAAGGGACAGUCAGGGGCACUCGUAUUCCUCAGAGAGAGGUGAAAUUCUCAGACCCGCGGAAGACGAACCACUGCGAAAGCAUUUGCCAGGGAUGUUUUCACUGAUCAAGAACGAAAGUUAGGGGAUCGAAGACGAUCAGAUACCGUCGUAGUCUUAACCAUAAACCAUGCCGACUAGGGAUUGGGGGAUGUUCACUGAUUGACUCCCUCAGCACCUUACGGGAAACUAAAGUCUUUGGGUUCCGGGGGGAGUAUGGUCGCAAGGCUGAAACUUAAAGGAAUUGACGGAAGGGCACCACCAGGUGUGGAGCCUGCGGCUUAAUUUGACUCAACACGGGGAAACUUACCAGGUCCAGACAUUGUGAGGAUUGACAGAUUGAGAGCUCUUUCUUGAUUUGAUGGGUGGUGGUGCAUGGGCCGUUCUUAGUUGGUGAAGUGAUUUGUCUGGGUUAAUUCCGUUAACGAACGAGACCUUAGCCUGCUAAAUAG
rnacentral:rRNA from 1 species